UCCGGUUUGACACCGGCAGUCUCGCUAGAGUCCCCGCCACCCGAAGGCGCGCUGGCAACUAACGAUAGGGGUUUCGCUCGUUAAGGGACUUAACCCGACACUUCACAGCACGAGCUGACGACAGCCAUGCAGCACCUGUGCACGUUCCACUCAAAGAGCGUCACAACUGUUUCUAGUUGCUAAUCCGUGCAUGUCAAACCCUGGAUAAGGUUCUUCGCGUUGCUUCGAAUUAAGCCACAUGCUCCACCGCUUGUGUGAGCCCCCGUCAAUUCCUUUGAGUUUUAGCCUUGCGACCGUACUCCCCAGGCGGUGUACUUAACACUUUAGCUUCGAUGGCGCCGGCGUCAGAGCCUUCGCCAUCUAGUACACAUCGUUUAGGGCGUGGACUAC
rnacentral:misc_RNA from 1 species